rnacentral:rRNA from 1 species
AUUGAACGCUGGCGGCAGGCCUAACACAUGCAAGUCGAGCGGAUGACGGGAGCUUGCUCCUCGAUUCAGCGGCGGACGGGUGAGUAAUACCUAGGAAUCUGCCUGAUAGUGGGGGACAACGUUUCGAAAGGAACGCUAAUACCGCAUACGUCCUACGGGAGAAAGCAGGGGACCUUCGGGCCUUGCGCUAUCAGAUGUGCCUAGGUCGGAUUAGCUAGUUGGUGAGGUAAUGGCUCACCAAGGCGACGAUCCGUAACUGGUCUGAGAGGAUGAUCAGUCACACUGGGACUGAGACACGGUCCAGACUCCUACGGGAGGCAGCAGUGGGGAAUAUUGGACAAUGGGCGAAAGCCUGAUCCAGCCAUGCCGCGUGUGUGAAGAAGGCCUUCGGGCUGUAAAGUACUUUCAGCGGGGAGGAAGGCGGUGAAGUUAAUAGCUUCACCGAUUGACGUUACCCGCAGAAGAAGCACCGGCUAACUCCGUGCCAGCCGCCGCCGUAACAC